CGUCAGCGCAGAGCCCGGUGCGGGACUUCAUCCCACAAACCAUGAGAUCAUGACCCGAGCCGAAACUGAGAGCCGGACGCUUAACCGCUGAGCCACACAGGCGUCCCAGUGAAAGAAUCCUUUUUAAAGGGCCGGUAAAUGUAUGGACACAGAAUGGAUGGCCUAGUGCUGGUGGGAGGAGGGUCUCAGGGGCCCCUGCUAGGCCAGGCUUCAGCCUUCAGCUACUGGAUGGUAAGGGGGUCACGGGCAGGUGGGAGAGGAGAGGGGAUGGCCCGGCCACGGGACUGGGAGGCUGCAGGCAAUGGCUGUGUGUCAGUCUCUGCAGAAUAAGCUCAGGGUUUUGGUGUCGGUGGAGUGCUGGCUGCGUGUUAGCUCUGCUCUUGGCUUCACAGUGUGAAGCUUGGGUGGCCUCUGUGAAACCAGCAGCAAGGUAUUCUGGCGCCGUACGGGCCACUGCAGCUCAGAUGAGGAGUCUGUCUCGAUGAAGAGCAACCAAAGAGGUAAUAAGGAGUUCUUUAGAGAAGAAUUCCAGUUACUACAGACAGAAGGAAUGAUACAGUUAGAAAACCCCCACGCGGGAACACAUGAUGAAAUAAGGAAUCCAGGCAACCACCGUCAGGAAGUAUUAGGUGAGAGGUCGACAGGGAACCUUUGGAUGGACCGUGCUGAUAACACCUGAACCCACUGAUCGAUUUUUACAUCUCUAAAAGUGGGACAGUCAGACAUCAUGUACCUCGUGAUGUAAUACGUCAGAAAGUCCACAGCGUCUGUGAAUCUAAUCCAGCUUACAGUAAAUACAAGAACAGGCUGAAUGACACGAGGAGGAAACCGUCAGCCAAGUCCAGAAGCAACUCGGAGGGAGUCUUUCACCAGCAUCCAGACGAAGAUCUGAACUGCACUUCUACCCACUACAGCAUCACCCGCACUGCGCGUCCUAUCGGCUUUUCCGUGUGGGUCAUUUCCUAAUGGAUUCCUGAGAUGAGUCAACUUUGAACAUGCCUUUGAAGAAGCCUCAGUCCAGGUACGUGCGUUUAGGUCCCGUGGGUCCCUUGCUUACCCAGAAUCUGAACAGCCACCGCCAAGGGAGUGCAGAGGACACUGGCUUUGAACCUUGCAAGGACUGCUUCGCUACCUUCCAGGCUUGGUGAGGGCUUCGGUCUGGCAUUGGUAUUCUGGGAGUACCUGCCUCAAAGGACCAGCGAUUUGAGGAUGAAAUAAGGGAGCCCGUGAAGAGUGCAGAGGAGGUUCAGUUCGGGCCAGCUGUACUAGUCGUGGGAAGUAAGUGCAAGCAUCUUUAGAUGCCAUAACAGAAUGUUCAACUCCAGACUUCGUGUGAAAUCAACCCCAAAACGAAGAGACUGAACUUGAAAGUGCAAAGCCCUUGAGCCCUCCUUUAAUGACACUUAACACACUCCCUUAUAGCGCCCAGGGGCUUGGGUAAGAGCAUUUAAAGUUUAAAAUGCUCAAUCAGUUGAGCGGCCGACUUCAGCUCAGGUUAUA